rnacentral:lncRNA from 1 species
CUUUCCCCCAGCCAACUCUGCACUACCCUCCCUGUUUCCUCCCCCCCCCGGCAGUCUCAGUGGUACAUUCCGCGUCGCAGUUGCCUUGGGAACAGCUACGCCUGUCGCUAUGCGCACGGCAGUGCUGCAGCGCCAGCAGGUGUGGGUGAGGGGAGCCCGCGCGAGCCGCUCCUCCGGCCCGCAACCACUGCUGCCGGAGCGGGAGACGCCCCUUCCCCGCCACUCAGCUCGGGGACAGGGAGGCAGCGGCGGCCGGAGCCCAGGCCGUGGGGGAGCAGGUGCCUGGCUCUCGGGCGCGGGCGGGGCCCCUGGGAGGGGAAUGGCGAUGGGGAGUCAACGGACCCCAGCAGAUCUCAGGGGCGGGGGAGCAUUGGAGCAGAUUGGGGAUGCGGGGGUGGGCGCAUUGACACAGGCCCCGGGAGGGGACCGGAGAUGGGGUAGGCAAUGGGCUUCAGCAGAUCCCUGUAUGGGAGCAGGUUGUGGGGGAGGGGGAAUAUGGAUGGUUGGUUUCCGGCAGCCCCCCCCCCGCGGGGGGAAUUGGUGCAAGGUGCUGGGAGGGGAAUGGAGAUGGGGUAGGCAAUGGGCUUCAGCAGAUCCCUGUAUGGGAGCAUGGGAGCAGGUUGUGGGGGAGGGGGAAUAUGGAUGGUUGGUUUCCAGCAGCCCCUGGGGGAGUGGGGGGGGGGGAAUGGAGAUGGGGUGGGCAUUAGAGUCCCUAGGGAUGUACCCUAGAGACAGUCCUACACAUAUAUAUGGAAACACACCCUUUAUGGAGGUACAGCUGCACACUAUUUAUAGUAUUUUUCCUUGUUGCUGUGUAAAUCACCUACAGUGCUGUAUGCAUUAUGGAUAGAGAAACAUGAGACUUUUAAUAAGUCUAACUCAUGAUUCAGGUUAUGUUGUAGCUCUGUAAAAGUUCAUUGAAAUUCUCCCUCCUGUCUCUCUAUAGCUAAUCCGAGGAGCAAUCACACCUGUGAACCUUACGUAGCUGAGAGAAGAGUUAGUUUUAAUGAAAUUGCUAAAGGCAAGAGUUUAAUUUGCUUGAGGUUUUGAAUUUCUAAGAAUUAGGCAGAGGAAGUUCAAGGGCCCUCUCUCGGGAAGUCUUUAGAGCAAGUGCAGGUGCCUGAAAGCGUCUUAAUGUUAGAAAUACAGUAGAACAGCAGAGUUAAGAACACCAGCGUUACAAACUACCCAGUCAACCACACACCUUAUCUGGAACCGGAAGUAUGUAGUCAGAUUGCAGAGAUUGGGGGGGGGGAGGGUAGCAAAUACUAUACAAUACAGUAUUGUGUUAAACAUAAACUACUAAGAAAAAAGGAAAGUCUUAAAAGAGUAAGGAAACGUUUUGUGUUUGUUUAAUUUAAAUUAAGAUGGUUAAAAGCAGCAUGUUUCUUGUGCAUAGUAAAGUUUCAAAGCUGAAUUAAGUCAAUGUUCAUUUGUAAACUUUGGAAAGAACAACCAUAACAUUUUGUUCAGAAUUAUGAAGAACCUCCAGUCCUGUGGUGUUUGUAACUCUGAGGUUCUACUGUAUGGGGAAUCCUGCAUCCUUGUUAGAGCCCAUACUUUCCCUGAUUUAUACCCCAACUCCACUCAAGGUCAAAAGAUCAAAACUUGACAUCCAAUCCAGGUCUCUGUAUGGUAUACUCAAGCAUUAGUUCUGACUCAUUUAGAAUUGCCAUCUGUUCUGCUUCUGAUAGAACAGGCUUGUAGCAGACAUGAAAAGAAUAACAAAGUAAAUAAUUGUAAAGUGAAAUCAUAUUUUUCCCCCAAAAUAAGUUAAAUGUUGUGUGUCUGAUUAUCUUUUUGAACAACCUGACAGCAACAGGUCAUUAGUGUCUUGUUCUAAGGUCACUUGCUAAAGGUAAAGAGAAUUGUUUUGAAAAUUCUACUUUUACAUAAAGUGCUUCAGAUUAUGUACUUUUGCUUUUUGCCUUCCAUUGUUGUACUGUGAUAUAAUGACCUAUGUACAGACAGAAAGCAUAAUAAUUUAUUACAGGCUUUCAUCAAAGAAAAUGGUCAAAGCAGUAUGAUUCAUGUAUACCAUCUUCCUCUCUUUCUAAUGUAAGAAAAUGACUGAUAUGCUAUGGCUUGAUAAACAGUCUUAUUAAGAGGAAACUUUGCUAGUUGCAGUCAAUGACAUGAAAAUGGCUGAUAAAUAAAAUUUAUUGAUUUAAUUUGCA